CUGGCGGCCUUAGCGCGGUUGUCCCACCUGACCCCAUGCCGAACUCAGAAGUGAAACGCCGUAGCGCCGAUGGCAGUGUGGGGUCUCCCCAUGCGAGAGUAGGGAACUGCCAGGC
rnacentral:rRNA from 1 species